AAAUAAUGGACAAAAAAAGAACAAAUAGAGACUUCUUUAAACCACCUGUUCCUAAAGUCCAUGUAAAACGGAACUAAACCACCAUCCGGUCAGUAAAUGAGCAUAAAAUGCUGUGGAAAGAUCUAAUCAGAUUUAAAAUGGAAAUCUGUGCUUACUGGUUUGGAGUACAUGCAUUAUUCACAUAUUAGCAUUCUGCUCCCCUGUUGAAUCUGAGGGCACAUCAGUGUUGGGUGGUCAGCUUUACAGAUCAAGUCCAUGUUUCGGUGAAUUUCAUGUUCCAAUCUAUCUGUACGCAGUCAUAUUCAUGCCCACUGACAAUUCCCUUUUCUAUUUCUUUGUUAGUCUUGUUUGUGCAACACUUGUAUAAUAAUGUAUUUCCUACAUGACCUUUGAAAACGUUUUGUUCAAUAAAACCAAUCUAAAAA